rnacentral:rRNA from 1 species
UACGUAGGUGGCGAGCGUUAUCCGGAAUGAUUGGGCGUAAAGGGUGCGUAGGCGGCCUGCUAAGUCUGGAGUGAAAGGUACCGGCUCAACCGGUACAGGCUCUGGAAACUGGCGGGCUAGAGAGCAGGAGAGGGCGGUGGAACUCCAUGUGUAGCGGUGAAAUGCGUAGAUAUUAGGAGGAACACCAGUGGCGAAGGCGGCCUGCUGGACUGCAACUGACGUUGAGGCUCGAAGGCGUGGGGAGCAAACAGG